GGCAUCUAUACGUGUGUGGGGGAAGAGAGUGUCAUUAGGCGCAGAGAGCGUUAGUGGGUUUUGGUUGUCUGAUGGAGACCUCUUGAGGAUCCCCUGCGGCGUCAGCUAUAUGUAAACCCGGUCUCCGGCUCACCUUGUUUGCAGUCGGGCAUUCUUAAGCUCUGAGCAGUGAGCACAGAGGAUCCUGUGGCAUGGGUAACUGUCAGAGGCCCAUCAGGCCGUUGUGCUCACUGAUCCGAUCAUGCGCGUCCCGUUAGAAUUGAGCGUUAUACUAAUCAUUUGGGCAGAAAAAAGAAAAGAAAAACUCGCUCAAUAAUUUCGCCUUACCCAUGCGAACUCCCAGAGAUAAGUCAGAUAACAUUAACAUGGACGGUCCGGUCCACCUGACAAGUUGAGACUCGAUUUUGUCCAACCAAGUUGCAAAAAAAGAAGAAGAG
rnacentral:lncRNA from 1 species